AAAUUGCUUCAAAAUACUACAAAAUUGCUUCAAAAUACUACGAAAUUGCUUCAAAAUAUUGCUAAAUUCCUUCAAAUGUCUACAUUUGCGAAGAAAUUCAACAAUCGCAACAACAUUCACAGAAAGAAACCGAAAAAUAUAUUUCGAAUUAGAGAGAUAAAGAGAAUGAUGAUUCAGAGAAGAAUCAUGUUCGUUGAACAUAACAAGGCAUAGUCUGAAGAAACGUGAACCAAAUUAGGAAGCAAGGAUGCGGAACUGAUGUUAUUUGAA